GAUGAAUGCUGGCGGCGUGCCUAAUACAUGCAAGUCGAACGGUCUCUUCGGAGGCAGUGGCGGACGGGUGAGUAACGCGUGGGAACGUGCCCUUUGGUACGGAACAACUGAGGGAAACUUCAGCUAAUACCGUAUGUGCCCUUCGGGGAAAGGAUUUAUCGCCAUUGGAGCGGCCCGCGUUGGAUUAGCUAGUUGGUGGGGUAAGUGGCCCACCAAGGCGACGAUCCAUAGCUGGUCUGAGAGGAUGAUCAGCCACACUGGGACUGAGACACGGCCCAGACUCCUACGGGAGGCAGCAGUAGGGAAUCUUGCGCAAUGGGCGAAAGCCUGACGCAGCCAUGCCGCGUGAAUGAUGAAGGUCUUAGGAUUGUAAAAUUCUUUCACCGGGGACGAUAAUGACGGUACCCGGAGAAGAAGCCCCGGCUAACUUCGUG
rnacentral:rRNA from 1 species